AUUAAAUGAACGCUAGCGGCUGUAUGAUGAAUGGAAUAAAAUCCUUACUUGUCUGUGCAGUUUGCUGUUUGUCUUCUCCUGUGGAUAACGCCGUUACGCGCGGCUGGUGCGUGGUUUAGGUAGUUUCAUGUUGUUGGGAUUGGCUUCCUGGCUCGACAACAAGAAACUGCCUUGAUUACGUCAGUUCGUCUUCAUCAAGGGCGACAAUUGCCGUUAAAUUACACCCUGUGCAAUGAAGUUUCCGCAAAUGGCAUUGUAAAUGAACUGAACGAUUAUAGCCACAGCGGGCUCUUUUUCUCCUUUGCUCGCCUUUAUGUGUCGGGUUGUAAAAGAGAAUUUAGACUCUCAGAGGGAGAAAGCACUGUUAACAUCAUGGGGCAAACUUAGUCCGGUCGUUAUUAUGGCUCGUUCUCUUUUUCUAAGCUAUGGCCAAAAGUGUUUUUUUUUUUUUUUCUUAUGUAUUAUUUUCAAUAUGGUGUUGUUAUAAUGUGGUUACAAAGACAAAGCGCUAGCAAAA
rnacentral:precursor_RNA from 1 species